rnacentral:rRNA from 1 species
AUUGAACGCUGGCGGCAGGCCUAACACAUGCAAGUCGAACGGUAACAGGAAGAAGCUUGCUUCUCUGCUGACGAGUGGCGGACGGGUGAGUAAUGUCUGGGAAACUGCCUGAUGGAGGGGGAUAACUACUGGAAACGGUAGCUAAUACCGCAUAACGUCGCAAGACCAAAGAGGGGGACCUUCGGGCCUCUUGCCCUCGGAUGUGCCCAGAUGGGAUUAGCUAGUAGGUGGGGUAACGGCUCACCUAGGCGACGAUCCCUAGCUGGUCUGAGAGGAUGACCAGCCACACUGGAACUGAGACACGGUCCAGACUCCUACGGGAGGCAGCAGUGGGGAAUAUUGCACAAUGGGCGCAAGCCUGAUGCAGCCAUGCCGCGUGUAUGAAGAAGGCCUUCGGGUUGUAAAGUACUUUCAGCGGGGAGGAAGGGAGUAAAGUUAAUACCUUUACUCAUUGACGUUACCCGCAGAAGAAGCACCGGCUAACUCCGUG